rnacentral:rRNA from 1 species
UACGUAGGGUGCAAGCGUUAAUCGGAAUCACUGGGCGUAAAGGGCGCGUAGGCGGCCUGAUAAGUAGGGGGUGAAAUCCUGCGGCUUAACCGCAGGGCUGCCUUCUAAACUGUCGGGCUAGAGCACGGUAGAGGCAGAUGGAAUUCCCGGUGUAGCGGUGGAGUGCGUAGAGAUCGGGAAGAACACCCGUGGCGAAGGCGGCUCUCUGGAACGCAACUGACGCUGAGACGCGAAAGCGUGGGGAGCAAACAGG